ensembl:lncRNA
AGGGAGGUGAGGGAGGUCUCUGCCAUUCGUAACAUUACAGUUUUAUAGGGAGUUGAGGGAGGUCUCUGCCGUUCGUAACAUUACAGUUUUAUAGGGAGGUGAGGGAGGUCUCUGCCAUUCGUAACAUUACAGUUUUAUAGGGAGGUGAGGGAGGUCUCUGCCGUUCGUAACAUUACAGUUUUAUAGGGAGGUGAGGGAGGUCUCUGCCAUUCGUAAUAUUACAGUUUUAUAGGGAGGUGAGGGAGGUCUCUGCCAUAUGUUGGCAGCGGCUGGCUCCACUCUUCAAAGGCAAUUACCACAGUAAAUAAUUAACAGUGGGGGGUUUAUCAGUGUGCACAGUAGAACACCUCAGGC